rnacentral:rRNA from 1 species
UACGUAGGGUGCAAGCGUUGUCCGGAAUUAUUGGGCGUAAAGAGCUCGUAGGCGGUUUGUCGCGUCUGCUGUGAAACCCGAGGCUCAACCUCGGGCCUGCAGUGGGUACGGGCAGACUAGAGUGCGGUAGGGGAGAUUGGAAUUCCUGGUGUAGCGGUGAAAUGCGCAGAUAUCAGGAGGAACACCGGUGGCGAAGGCGGGUCUCGUGGGCCGAUGACUGACGCUGGAGGAGCGAAAGCGUGGGGAGCGAACAGGA